rnacentral:rRNA from 1 species
AUACGGAGGGGGCUAGCGUUGUUCGGAAUUACUGGGCGUAAAGCGCGCGUAGGCGGAUGAUCAAGUUGGGGGUGAAAGCCCGAGGCUCAACCUCGGAACUGCCCUCAAAACUGAUUGUCUCGAGUACGGGAGAGGUGAGUGGAAUUCCUAGUGUAGAGGUGAAAUUCGUAGAUAUUAGGAAGAACACCAGUGGCGAAGGCGGCUCACUGGCCCGUUACUGACGCUGAGGUGCGAAAGCGUGGGGAGCAAACAGGAUUAGAAACCCCAGUAGUCC